rnacentral:rRNA from 1 species
GACGAACGCUGGCGGCAGGCCUAACACAUGCCAGUCGAGCGGAGCGGCGGCCGGGUGAGUAAUGCCUAGGAAUCUGCCUGGUAGUGGGGGCUAACGUCCGGAAACGGGAGCUAAUCCCGCAUACUAUCAGAUGAGCCUAGGUCGGAUUAGCUAGUUGGUGGGGUAAAGGCCUACCAAGGCGAAAAUCCGUAACUGGUAUGCGAGGAUGAUCAGUCACAGUGGAACUGAGACCCGGGCCAGACUCCUACGGUAGGCAGCCGUGGGGAAUAUUGGAAAAUGGGCGAAGGCCUGAUCCAGCCAUGCCGCGUGUGUGAAGAAGGUCUUCGGAUUGUAAAGCACUUUAAGUUGGGAGGCGUUACCAACAGAAUAAGCACCGGCUAACUUCGUGCCAGCAGCCGCGGUAAUUC